GAUGAACGCUGGCGGCGUGCCUAAUACAUGCAAGUCGAGCGAACAGAUGAGGAGCUUGCUCCUCUGACGUUAGCGGCGGACGGGUGAGUAACACGUGGAUAACCUACCUAUAAGACUGGGAUAACUUCGGGAAACCGGAGCUAAUACCGGAUAAUAUAUUGAACCGCAUGGUUCAAUAGUGAAAGACGAUUUUGCUGUCACUUAUAGAUGGAUCCGCGCCGCAUUAGCUAGUUGGUAAGGUAACGGCUUACCAAGGCAACGAUGCGUAGCCGACCUGAGAGGGUGAUCGGCCACACUGGAACUGAGACACGGUCCAGACUCCUACGGGAGGCAGCAGUAGGGAAUCUUCCGCAAUGGGCGAAAGCAUGACGGAGCAACGCCGCGUGAGUGAUGAAGGUCUUCGGAUCGUAAAACUCUGUUAUUAGGGAAGAACAAAUGUGUAAGUAACUAUGCACGUCUUGACGGUACCUAAUCAGAAAGCCACGGCUAACUACGUG
rnacentral:rRNA from 1 species